GUCAUCUGAGCGCUGUGGAGUUGAAUUUGUUUACGGCAAAACGGAUCUGAUUGGUUACUCUCUGGUUACAUGCAAAGGUUAAUAUUCUGAUAAGAACUGCUUCUGGCUACUGCAGGCCAAUGCUAACCAUCCCUUCGUCCAACAUGAGAGGGAAAACAAGUAGCACUGCCCAGAGAACCUGAAUUUGACAGCUGAGUCAAGAGUAAUGGAAAUAAACUACAAUAGCCUUGAAGUUUGAUGGUGAAAUAAAACAACCUCUCUUCUGGACUGGUUGAACCCAGCUGAUCAGUUCAAUCACCCAGGAGCACUGAGGCAGGACCCUGUAAAGGUGAUUCACUUCAUUUCAGCACUCCAUACACCAUUUGUCCUGCGCCUUUCAUCCCAUCUGUGUGUAUGGUUCCCCUCGGUCAGACAUUGUUGACCUAAUACUGCAGCGUGACAUUAAAAAAGAGACAAUGAAAAGCAUUUUUUCCUUCUGUCCCAUUGUAGAGAAGUUCAUAUUCUUUGUAUAACUUAAGAAAAAAAUACACACACUUGCACUUAAACCCCUUUUCUAAUGUAAACACUUCUUUUACGUAACUGUCACUUAAACUAGUUUAUUCUGGUACGCUUUCUGAGACGCUUUUCUGUAACUUUUGUGACAUUUUGAGAUAUUUGACAGUUUGAAGAGCUGUAGGGCGCUAACAGGCUCACCGUGUCUGCUACCACUGUCUUGUUUGCACUCAAUGACUGACACAGCAUUAUUGAUGAGGAGGCACAGCCCAGCGCUUUCUAAAGUUUUUUACGUGCCAUUAUUACAUAUGAAGAGUUUGACAGUCACAUGUUUAUGGUAGCCGAUAGGUGCGCCUGGACUAGCCAAGAAACAGGCCCUGAUAAGUAGGACAAAGAGCUCUGCAUUAUCUACACUUUUGAUUUGGACAAAAAGAAAUGGAAGAACACUGUCUUUGUUCAAAAAAUAUGGUAAACAAUUAGCUGGCGUUCCCUAUUGUUUCAGCCGCUGACCCGUGAAGGCUGGGAAGUGACUGAUGUCUUAUUGUGUUGCGGCCCCUCAUCUCCAUUCGGUGUGGCCAGGAAAUGUAGGGGAACUGGGCAAUUAUUUCUGAUUUAUCUACUCGGACAAAUCUUGGCACACUGAGCUGGGCUCCAGAGUCUAGUUGAGGUUUGUGUCCUCAUUAUCGAUAC